AGGAAGGAGAAGUCGUAACAAGGUUUCCGUAGGUGAACCUGCGGAAGGAUCAUUGUCGAGACCGAAAAAUAUACCGAGCGAUUCGGACAACCCGUGAAAUGAGGGAAUGGCCGUCCCGGUCGUCGCCCCCGACUCCCCUUCGGGAGGAGGGGGCACGGCGGAGGAUGGAUGAACCACAAACCGGCGCAGCAUCGCGCCAAGGGAAUAUUGAGAUGCACGAGCCCCGCGUCGGGCUCGGUGGCGUGGAGUGCUGUUGCACGCCAUGCGGAUGGACACGACUCUCGGCAAUGGAUAUCUCGGCUCUCGCAUCGAUGAAGAGCGCAGCGAAAUGCGAUACGUGGUGCGAAUUGCAGAAUCCCGCGAACCAUCGAGUCUUUGAACGCAAGUUGCGCCCGAGGCCAGCCGGCCAAGGGCACGUCCGCCUGGGCGUCAAGCGUUGCGUCGCUCCGUGCCAGCGCCGUCCCGCCAAUGGGCGUGUCGGGCGCGGCUCGGAUGUGCAGAGUGGCCCGUCGUGCCCGUCGGGUGCGGCGGGCUGAAGAGAGGGUUUCGUCUCGCUGGCCGCUGAACAACAAGGGGUGGGUGAAAGCUCUGAGCGCAGCCUGCGUUGUCUCGUGCCGGCCCGAGAGACGGAUUGUGCCUUUGAAGUGAUCCCGAACCACGCGCCGAUCGGCAUUCGGCGGCUUGGAAUGCGACCCCAGGAUGGGCGAGGCCACCCGCCGAGUUUAAGCAUAUCAAUA
rnacentral:rRNA from 1 species